CAGCCUUGUACUUGGAGUGCUGUUGGCCUGCUGUAUGACUGUAAUUGUCGUUCUUAUUUUCUACAUAAAUCGAAGGAGAGUUUGCGAACAUUGCAAAGGAGCAAUGAAUGGCACCCAUCUUCUUGGACAUGACAAGUCAACUGUGGACCAAACAACUGAUUUGGAUGGUGAAGCAGUGAACUAUGCAGCACUGGAUUUCUCCACAAGGAAACUGAAAAGAGGGAGAAAAAAGGGAGAUUUGCCACAAGAGUGUGUGUACUCUGUUGUUAGAACAGAUUACCACAAUCAACAACACCCCUACCUAUAGGCAGAGCACGGCCUAUGCGCUCCACACUGGAUCUUGAUUUAACUGGUGAGAAAAAGAGAGAGUGACCGA